rnacentral:rRNA from 1 species
GUCCACGCCGUAACGAUGAUGCCAGUCGUCGGCAAGCAUGCUUGUCGGUGACACACCUAACGGAUUAAGCAUUCCGCCUGGGGAGUACGGCCGCAAGGUUAAACUCAAAGGAAUUUACGGGGCCCGCACAAGCGGUGGAGCAUGUGGUUUAAUUCGAAGCAACGCGCAGAACCUUACCAACCCUUGACAUGGAUAUCGCGGGACCAGAGAUGGUUCUUUCAGUUCGGCUGGAUAUCACACAGGUGCUGCAUGGCUGUCGU